rnacentral:rRNA from 1 species
CGGGUGAGUAAUGUCUGGGAAACUGCCUGAUGGAGGGGGAUAACUACUGGAAACGGUAGCUAAUACCGCAUAAUGUCGCAAGACCAAAGAGGGGGACCCUCGGGCCUCUUGCCAUCGGAUGUGCCCAGAUGGGAUUAGCUAGUAGGUGGGGUAACGGCUCACCUAGGCGACGAUCCCUAGCUGGUCUGAGAGGAUGACCAGCCACACUGGAACUGAGACACGGUCCAG